ensembl:lncRNA
UAUCCUCCUGACUACCAGCAAUGCAAAUUUGUCCUCUGUAGAGCACCUUUCUAAACCUGAAUAUCUCCCAUGCACUGCAUACUAUAGAAUUGCCUCCUUUUGGUAUCUACAGAGGACAUUUAGGGCUUUCCAAUGAUACCAAAUGUGAAGGGGUGGAGCUUUGGGAACUUUAGUUUUUUCAUUAAGGAACAUGGCAGCCAUCGCUGCAAGCACAUUUUAUGGGAAGAAGAAAAGUAAAUGCAUAAAACUUCUUAUUGAGCAAUUUUUAGCUAUAAAUGUUGUUAGCAUAUUUUAAAUAAGUCUCUUAAUAACACAUUAAAACAUAGUAUGCUUAAUUCUAACUUCAUUUUAGUAUAGUAUUGAAGUGUUUAAAAAAAUGUCCUCCGUAGUGGACAUUUGUAGUCAUUUCUUCCAUUUUGUUCUGUUUUUUUAAAUGACCAGAAAAGGAGUCCUUUUUAGAAGCAGAAAGAGAUUUAUUGCAGUUUGAUGAGGGAAACUCAGAUCUUGAGUUGUCUGAUGAAGAAGAUCAUAGGGAAUAAGCCCUUGACGAAGAAAGAAGGAGGAGCAUCAGGGAUGGUACUCAGACCUGAACUUGCUGUCAUUAAGUGGUUGGACAGUUGUCAUGGCAUCCUCUGCCUAUGGCAAUCAACCUCAGGACAGACGCACAAGAUGGUUUAAGAAAAACAAAAGGUUUGUCCAUGUGCCAAGUCCACUGGCAAUUGCUGAGUACACUACCAAUAUAGGUGACGUGGACCAUAUUGAAUGUUGAGUUUCUACAGGAUGGUCUCUCACACUCAGAAAUUGACAGUAUGUGCAGUUUUCUACUUUUUGAUCUGGCAAUCACCAACUCGUGGCUUCAGUAUAGCAGUGACUUGCAGUUUUGGGGGAAGAAACCACUACAGUUCCUUGAGUUCAAACUUCUCCUUGGUGAAGAGUUGAAGCAAAUGUUUGCCAUCAAAGUUCAUUUUUACACGUUCGGUCUUCCAAUGUCCUCUGCAGUGGACAUGUGAUAUCUAAAAAAUGUAAACUUUUUUUCCCCAAAAA